rnacentral:rRNA from 1 species
UUCGCCUACGGGAGGCAGCAGUAGGGAAUUUUCGUCAAUGGGCGCAAGCCUGAACGAGCGAUGCCGCGUGAGUGAAGAAGGCCUUCGGGUCGUAAAGCUCUGUUGCGGGGGAAAAAAGGCAGCAUCAGGAAAUGGGUGCUGACUGAUGGUGCCCCGCCAGAAAGUCACGGCUAACUACGUGCCAGCAGCCGCGGUAAUACGUAGGUGGCGAGCGUUAUCCGGAUUUAUUGGGCGUAAAGCGUGCGUAGGCGGCUUGUUAAGUCCAGAAUUAAAGCCCGAGGCUUAACCUCGGUUCGUUCUGGAUA